GAUGAACGCUAGCGGGAGGCCUAACACAUGCAAGUCGAACGGGAUUGGGAGCUUGCUCCCAUGAGAGUGGCGCACGGGUGAGUAACGCGUAUGCAACCUACCUUUAACUGAGGGAUAGCCCAUAGAAACGUGGAUUAAUACCUCAUAGUUCUGCGAAGCCGCAUGGUUUUGCAGAUAAAGCUCCGGCGGUUAAAGAUGGGCAUGCGUGACAUUAGUUUGUUGGUGAGGUAACGGCUCACCAAGACUACGAUGUCUAGGGGUUCUGAGAGGAUGAUCCCCCACACUGGUACUGAGACACGGACCAGACUCCUACGGGAGGCAGCAGUGAGGAAUAUUGGUCAAUGGGCGCAAGCCUGAACCAGCCAUCCCGCGUGAAGGAUGAAGGCCCUAUGGGUCGUAAACUUCUUUUAUACACCAAGAAAAGUUCGGACGUGUCCGAGUCUGACGGUAGUGUGUGAAUAAGCAUCGGCUAAC
rnacentral:rRNA from 1 species